GAGCCGCUAGCUCAGUAGGUAGAGCACCGCCCUUUUAAGGCGGGCGUCCUGGGUUCGACUCCCAGGCGGCUCA
rfam:Candidatus Magnetobacterium bavaricum SAG42185, whole genome shotgun sequence.